UGAGGAAUAUUGGUCAAUGGACGAGAGUCUGAACCAGCCAAGUAGCGUGCAGGAUGACGGCCCUAUGGGUUGUAAACUGCUUUUGUUUGGGAAUAAUCGACAUUACGUGUAAUGUUUUGCAUGUACCAUUCGAAUAAGGACCGGCUAAUUCCGUGCCAGCAGCCGCGGUAAUACGGAAGGUCCAGGCGUUAUCCGGAUUUAUUGGGUUUAAAGGGAGUGUAGGCGGUUGGUUAAGCGUGUUGUGAAAUGUAGAUGCUCAACUUCUAGAUUGCAGCGCGAACUGUCAGACUUGAGUGCGCACAACGUAGGCGGAAUUCAUGGUGUAGCGGUGAAAUGCUUAGAUAUCAUGAAGAACUCCGAUUGCGAAGGCAGCUUACGGGAGCGCAACUGACGCUGAAGCUCGAAGGUGCGGGUAUCGAACAGG
rnacentral:rRNA from 1 species